AAUCAAACCCUUGAUUUCUCAGGGCCAAAAAAUAUUUUUUGAGACAUAAAUAGCACGCUAUUCAUUUCAUUUAUUUUAUUUAAAAAUAAACUUAGCUGGAAAUGUGAAUCAACUAGGUUCUACUAAGUUCUACUAAGUUCUUUACCACUUGCGCUAAGGACGGUCGAUAGGGACUAAAAAAUAUUGAUAAAGUAUAUACUUGGUCCCUAAAAAUACGCUUGUUUCAUACAAAAUGAAUAGAAGAUGAUAUUUAUUACGGUCAUAAAUAUUUGUUUUGAAUUUUUUGUUU
rnacentral:lncRNA from 1 species